GAUGAAGAACGCAGCGAAAUGCGAUACGUAGUGUGAAUUGCAGAAUUCAGUGAAUCAUCGAAUCUUUGAACGCACAUUGCACCUCUCGGUAUUCCGGGAGGUAUGCCUGUUCGAGCGUCAUUUGUACCCUCAAGCUCUGCUUGGUGUUGGGUGUUUGUUCCGCCUCUGUGUGUGAACUCGCCUCAAUACAAUUGGCAGCCGGCGUACUUGUUUCGGAGCGCAGCACAUUUUGCGAUCCAGAUCAACGUACAGCGGCAUCCAAGAAGCCUUAUUUAACGCUCUUGACCUCGGAUCAGGUAGGGAUACCCGCUGAACUUAAGCAUAUCAAUAAGCGGAGGA
rnacentral:misc_RNA from 1 species